rnacentral:rRNA from 1 species
GACGAACGCUGGCGGCGUGCUUAACACAUGCAUGUCGAACGGAAAGGCCCUGCUUUUGUGGGGUGCUCGAGUGGCGAACGGGUGAGUAACACGUGAGUAACCUGCCCUUGACUUUGGGAUAACUUCAGGAAACUGGGGCUAAUACCGGAUAGGAGCUCCUGCUGCAUGGUGGGGGUUGGAAAGUUUCGGCGGUUGGGGAUGGACUCGCGGCUCAUCAGCUUGUUGGUGGGGUAGUGGCUUACCAAGGCUUUGACGGGUAGCCGGCCUGAGAGGGUGACCGGCCACAUUGGGACUGAGAUACGGCCCAGACUCCUACGGGAGGCAGCAGUGGGGAAUAUUGCACAAUGGGCGGAAGCCUGAUGCAGCAACGCCGCGUGCGGGAUGACGGCCUUCGGGUUGUAAACCGCUUUCGCCUGUGACGAAGCGUGAGUGACGGUAAUGGGUAAAGAAGCACCGGCUAACUACGUG